CCUACGGGAGGCAGCAGUAAGGAAUAUUGGUCAAUGGAGGCAACUCUGAACCAGCCAUGCCGCGUGCAGGAAGACUGCCCUAUGGGUUGUAAACUGCUUUUAUACGGGAAUAAACCUUGAUUCGUGAAUCGAGCUGAAUGUACCGUAAGAAUAAGGAUCGGCUAACUCCGUGCCAGCAGCCGCGGUAAUACGGAGGAUCCAAGCGUUAUCCGGAUUUAUUGGGUUUAAAGGGAGCGUAGGCGGCCUAUUAAGUCAGGGGUGAAAGACGGUGGCUCAACCAUCGCAGUGCCUUUGAUACUGGUAGGCUUGAAUGUAGUUGAGGUAGGCGGAAUGUGACAAGUAGCGGUGAAAUGCAUAGAUAUGUCACAGAACACCGAUUGCGAAGGCAGCUUACUAAGCUAUGAUUGACGCUGAGGCUCGAAAGCGUGGGGAUCAAACAGGAUUAGAUACCCUGGUAGUCCACGCCCUAAACGAUGAUAACUCAUGUGUGAUAUANAUNGCGCACGACGAAGAGUAGUUA
rnacentral:rRNA from 1 species